AUAAUCUCCUCCAACCGACGAGUUAUCGCGGUUUGAAAAUGGGGUAUAUUCCGGGUAUAGUGCCAUGACACGAAAACGGCCUUGAUAUACGCAGGGGGUUAUUAGGUUUAUGAAUCAGGAAAUUCAAUAAAAUUCACAUCGUUGUAUUCAAUAAGGGUUACUCUUUCUAUUGGUACCUUAAAACAUAAAUAACCCCCUGAAACCGACGAGUAAUCGUUGUUCGAAAAUGGGGUAUUUUUGCUUUGUUGUCACCAAUCGCGGGAAAAGAGGAAUUCUACAGGAAAUAUGGCGCGAAUGCGACGUAAACAAGGCAGCUUUUCUAACGUAUUGUUCCUGAUUGUAUCAUUUGUUUUUGUAGAAUUAGAGUUUAUUGGAGCAAAAAAUGGAAUUUAUUAAUGAUGGCGAUGUUGUCAUUGUUGAUCAUGAUUUAGAAAAUGAGGAAACUCAAAUUACUGAUACGCCAGGAAAAUAUCUCGUGUGGAAAGUUCAUUCACCCCAUUCAGUCGAGCUUUGUUUCAAAGUCCUGGCACAUCAGCAAAGGUAUAAUAAAAAAAAUAUGGUAGACGAAAUUGUACUUAUAAAUGUACUGUUAUUCUUUGCUAUUUUAUUCUUAUAAAUUGUCUUUGUAUAUUCAGUGUAAAGCUGGAGUAAAUACGAGCAACAAAAUUGCUGCAACUUGCAACAAAAUCUGAUUUCAACGCAUGUACGAGGCAACAUGUGUCAACAUUUCUAUGACUUGGAUUAAGUUAUGUGUCAACAUCUCCACUUAACAUCCGUUGAAAUCAGAUUUUGUUGCAAAUUGCAGCAAUUUUGUUGUCUGUAUUACUCCACCUUAAUACCUCUGUGUAACAUUAUUCUGCAGUGUAACAUUAUUCAUGUAUGAUUAUUCAUAUGUCAUCUGCGCCCCAAUUUCCAUUUUAGUAAAUGACAUACUUUUUCGUAGUUUCCUAGCAGAAAGAUCAGGCUGACUCUGUCAGAGAAGUCACCAGUGAAAAAAACAUAAAUGGACCUUUGAGGAAAACAAAGCUUUGAUCAAGUUGAUAUCUAUUGCCAAAAAAAGAUCCAUGGAUCUGGAGAAAUUUUGUCCAUAAUAAAAUAAAAUAACAACAAUUUACAUUAGCCUAGUAAUC